rnacentral:tRNA from 1 species
CGGGGCGUAGCGCAGCUUGGUAGCGCAUCUGCUUUGGGAGCAGAGGGUCGCUGGUUCAAAUCCAGUCGCCCCGACCA